AUACGGAGGAUCCGAGCGUUAUCCGGAUUUAUUGGGUUUAAAGGGUGCGCAGGCGGCCACUUAAGUCAGCGGUUAAAUCGUGGGGCUCAACCCCAUUCUGCCGUUGAUACUGGGUGGCUUGAUUGCGGUCGAGGUUGGCGGAAUUCGUUGUGUAGCGGGGAAAUGCAUAGAUAUGACGAAGAACACCGAUUGCGUAGGCAGCUGACCAGACCGCAAAUGACGCUCAUGCACGAAAGUGCGGGGAUCGAACAGGAUUAGAUACCCUGGUAGUCCGCACAGUAAACGAUGAAUACUUGUUUUCGGCGAUAUAAUGUCGGAGGCAAAGCGAAAGCGAUAAGUAUUCCACCUGGGGAGUACGCCGGCAACGGUGAAACUCAAAUGAAUUGACGGGG
rnacentral:rRNA from 1 species